CAGCUCAUGUGUGAGGGAAGAGACCCCCUCCAAUGAGAAGGGAGGCAGAGAGUGGGAAAAGUGGCAACUCGGGUACAAAGGAGCAAAGAACGGUGAUUCAUAAGGAGGGUGGGAGAGCCAGGCCUGCCUGCCUCCACGCCUGCCACAGUAUAGAUUCCACGCCUGGCACUUACUUGGCAGAUGAACCACGAGCGCACUGACUGCCAGCUUUAUAAAGGUUUCUGAACUUUGAGACAACAAGAUUGAUUCUGCAGGAAAGCACAGGCCUUGAACAAUCAGCUUUGGCCUCAGGCUACAAUGGACAAUAAAAGCCCUACAGGAUUAAAAAAGGAGGCAUGUGGGAUAUUGGCUCCCUGACUGGGGAUUGAACCUGCACCCCUUGCUAUGGAAGGUGAAGUCUUAACAACUGAACCAUCAGAGAAGUCCUGAGAAAGCCUUAAUAUGGAAAAAAAAAGUCAAUGGAGCUAAGAGAGUGUGCUUAGUAACGGUAACAGACUGAAUGCUUAUUUUCCCCCAAAUUGAUAUAUUGAAAUCCUAACCCCGAAGGUGAUGGUAUUAGGAAGUGGGGUCUUUGGGGUGAUGAAACUACAAGGGAAGAGCCCUCAUAAACAGAAUUGGUGCCCUUAUAAAAGAGAAAACUCCUUUGUCCCUUUAGUUUACGUGAGGUUGUAGCAAAAAGACAACUCUAUAAGUGAACUUUCACCAAACACCAAGUCUCCCAAAUCUUGUUCUUGGAUUUCCAGCCUCUAAAAUUGUGAGA
ensembl:lncRNA